UGUCCACUCUUCCUGUCGCGACUCGACUGGCAAAGAAGGUAGGGACUGACGUCCGCCUGAUUGAUCAAAUUCAGUUUUGUUUUCGCUCCGAAGACGAUUUAUGAAUCGAAUUAAUUAGCUCUAUUUGUAGCUAACGAUACGGUGUUAUUCCAUCUUGGGAACGGACACAUCUUUCCGCAAAGUUUCAGUUGUGUGCUGUCUCGCUGCAGCAGCUUGGUCGUUAAUUUUGUCGUUUGCUGAAGUGCUAGCUCGCUAGCCACUUAUCAGGAACUAGAGACACUACCUACGCAACCGUUUGUUAACGGUAGAAUGUGUGUAGACGCAAUGGAUACUAAAGGAAAUUUUGCGGAAGUAAGGCCACACUCAUGUCGGAGACUAAAAUGCACAAAAUGGCGGCCGAGAAAGUGUUUCUACGAUGAAGGAGAGAAGCUGUUGAAGAAAUGGAGGGCCGACUGUGUGAAAGCCACAGCCAGAAGGUACAGGCCUCAUGGUCGCAACCGGAAGGCUUGCGGCAGAAGAUCGUACGAGAGGCGCUCUUUGAGCCUGUACGACAAGGCCGGAAACUUUCUUCGGCCUGCGAGGUUCGAGCGCCAAGGCGGAGUUGCUUCCAUGGCCCCCGACAAUACGACGCAGUAUUUGAUGCAGAUCGCUUAUCAGGAUCUUGUUAACGAUUGCGACAUGUCCGCCGCAAUCGACUGCUCUGGACACGAACAGCCCGGGCCGAUUUAUGGCGAGUCAUCGCCGAACAGUGUAUAUACUUCACUGGACUGCGUGUAUGAAAAGACCCUUGAAUUCCAGAGGAGGGACUUCGAGGAAAUGUUUCAGUUCUACAGUGGAUCGUUGUAACCGAACGUGGGCAUUUGAAAUUGCACCUUGAACUGACUGUGUAAAGACUACUGGCACUGAGUGACGCACCCGACGCGGUCUGUCUGUAGAGGGCGCUCUUCCCCCAGGCUCGCAGACCGCAGUGUCACUCAACCGUCGGAGUCUGAGAAUUCAGCUCUGCCUUUGCCGUCUCGCGUUGCCGGCUCCAGGUUUUUGCACCGCCUGGUCUUCACGUGUGACUACAGCUCUUGUGGCCCUCACAUGGGUAAUCGGUCUGUUUCCUGCAUGCUUAAACAGUUUUUUCCUCCCCGACAGAUGUGUUCAGAGACCGGACUCUUGUAACGUGUGUCAGCCUUUUGCAGGUGUUUCCCGGCGAUGGUCCUGGGACAGCUGGGGCUGGUGGUGAGGAGCUCUCAUCCAAAGGGGGGAAGUAAAACCAGUUUUUCUUGUGUGCGCCUCGUGCCUCAGGGGUAGACGUUUGGAUAAAGUAGAUCCUUCAUUUGGUAGUUUUGGUAAACAUUGACAUAGUCUUGAGUAAAUACACAACUGUAUAAAGACUUGUGACACAGUAAUUACAUCACAUUGACAUUCAUAGCCUCAAGUAAACUCGUCUUCAGGAAGAUACAUAAUCUUGGGUAAGCAUAUCCAUGUAAAGACAUACAAAAACAUCUUAUUAUGAAGCUAUACAUUUUUAUGGUGCCCAGUGUUGAAUGCUGGGCAGUUGGGUUAAUGGUAAGAGGAUCCCUGUUGUGAAGGCGUUACAACAGCAGGCUCUGAUGGUAGAAGUGAGUUGUAGCCCCUCUGCCACACUGCAGACUUCUCCUUAGGUCCAUCUCAGAGGUGAGCAUAAGACAUGAGUGUCUUCCCUCCCCC